GACGUAGGGUGCGAGCGUUGUCUGGAUUUAUUGGGCGUAAAGAGCUCGUAGGCGGCUCGUCGCGUCGACCGUGAAAACCCGCAGCUUAACUGCGGGCUUGCGGUUGAUACGGGCGGGCUAGAGUUCGGUAGGGGAGACUGGAAUUCCUGGUGUAGCGGUGAAAUGCGCAGAUAUCAGGAGGAACACCGGUGGCGAAGGCGGGUCUCUGGGCCGAUACUGACGCUGAGACGCGAAAGCGUGGGGAGCGAACAGG
rnacentral:rRNA from 1 species